rnacentral:lncRNA from 1 species
UGUUAUUAUAAAGGCUUGGAUUUACUCUCCUCUCAUUAGAUUGUGUUGUCUCUUCGAUCCAACAAGGAGGAGGAGGAGGAGUAGAAGGUUGAUCAGGAGGAGGAGGAGGAGGUGGAGCUGGACAGAAAAGGAGUUGGAGGGAAUGCCCUGGUGACAGUUCUCCCACUUUGUUUUUCCUCCUCGAAACGGACCAAGGCCAUGAUGUUCAAUCUCCUCCAUCGACCGGUGUCAUCAAAAGGGCUGCCAAUAUCCUGUCCUUCUUAAUUCGUAAGGCGAGGCACAACCCUGGCCUGCCAACGGCGCCGAUGGAGAUGGGGAUACCGAGCCCCCAAAGCCCGUCAGACCUCCCUCUUCUUAGUGAUCCCAAUUCCCAUAAUUGCCCGGGUCUGCUUGACGAGCCAUCUAGCGCAGCUGCGCUGAACGUUCUUCCUCGAGGUCCCACCAACACUGCGGUCCCACUGUUGCCUCUACUGCGCUGAGGAGAGAGAGAGGAGAGGCUGCUGAAGGCCAUAUUUCCCCGCGGUGCAGAGCACUGCCCUGCCGCCUUGUGUAUGUGUGUGACGCAACCCGAAGCCAACAUCUUUGGCAGAAUAACAUUGCAAUCAAGUUAUUAUUUCCACUUAUUAGCACAUUUUCCUCAGCGUGUCGGGGCCAAAGAUAUGCUUGUCGGGAUCGAUCUCCUUGAGUGAUAUGGUCCGUUAAAUGCGUUUGGUUUGAGAACGGGAACCCAGACCGUGCGUGUGUGUGCGUGUGUGUGUGUGUGUGUGUUUGUGUGUGUGUGCGUGCUCGCAUGCAUGUGAGUGCGUGUGUAACUGACUGGCUCAAUACCUUCUACGAUUUGAUGUUUAACUUACUUGUGGGUUCUGUGAAAGAGGAGGGGGUAGCAGGCCUCCAUGGUGGUUUAUACUGAAAGUACUGUAACAGACUUGUAGAAAACUGAAUGUUGGUCUCACUUGUAAGAGACUAUCAUUUUGUUUGAAGUUACAUGAUGUUGAAUUAUGUUUUUAUACGUAUCAUUGCUCCCAGCCUUUUUACAUUCACAAUGUAUGGUAAUUUAAGUUAUUAAAUACAUGUUUUAUGAAUGGUAAAACAGCCACAGGGCAUUUUUUUGCAGUGGGUCUUUUGUGACAAUUACAAUUAUUUGAAGUCCCUGAUUCAUAUUUAAUGAAACCAUUGACCUUCCUCCUCCUGGCCCAUAUUAACUGCUGAGAGUAAUGGGUGCACUAAUGAUGAGAUGGAUCGGGGGGAUGUCAAUCAUCACAAAUGUAAUUAAUUCCAUUCGUCGUCGUGGCCAAUCAAAAGCCUUUGAGGGCCAAGGGUAUUCAGAUUGUCAUUGGAUUGUAUCCAAUAGCAACACCAGCUGAUUUGUGGAAGAUACAAUGUUUUUGCAGCAAAAAUAUUAACAAGAAAACAUUUGUUAAUGAUAAGAAUUAAUGGCCAUCGGUAUCAACCAUCAAUCAUAUUUUGUUAUUAUUAAUGUUUGUAAUUUGAAGGACAGAAAUGUCUGCAAGGGCUUUCUGUG